GGGGUUGUGGCUCAGUUGUAGAGCGCUCACCUAGCAUGUGUGAGGCACUGGGUUUGAUCCUCAGCAACACAU
rnacentral:tRNA from 1 species